AAAUGGGUGACUGGCGGGGGCGAGGCGGGGUGUGGAGGGCCGCAGUGCUGGGAGCCAGGAGGGCGGGAGAGGUGAAGUCAGACGGGCCUGGCCUGGGAUGGUUGAGCAGCUGGGACCGGUUCUCUAAGCUCAUGCCGCCCCCACUGCUGCCUCCCUCUGCACUCAGGUGCAAACAGUACGGGCUGUGUUUAGAAGCUUCCAAAGAUGAGGACGAGGAGGGCUUGUCAAUUGUGUCUUAUUCUGAGAACCUGAGAAGCCCAAGCUUUCCGAGCUGGGAAAGAUAGUAAAGACGACCCCUCCCACCUGUUGCCGCAACCUUGUCUGCUCCAGCAUCCUCUGCUUCCGCCUCUGCCUGCCAGCCCAGACCCACCUGCCCAUCCUCACCCCGGCUCCACACCUGGGCCAGCUGUGGCCAGGCGCAGGCGUCCUGCUCAGCUCCCUGGGUCUGCAGGGCUGAGAUGAGCAUUUCCAUCGCAGCCACAAAUCGCCCCGCCCUCCUGAGCCCAGCCUGAUGACUUCCUGCAGUGGCUGGGUUCACAUAUUCAGCGCCCACACACCCUCCGGGGACCAAGGGGAGGGAGGGAACCGGUGGGAGUGGGGAGCAGCAUCUUCUGGUUUGCUGGGGAGGGGGCUCUCCUCCUUGCCCUUUCCUCCCGCACUUUGAGAGCACCCAGAAGAGCCCUAAGAGCCUCCGUUUUCCUCCUGCCUCUCUGAGAGGGGAGACACGUGGCUGAAAGGCUAGAAAAACAUCCCAACCCUUCCAGGAACAAACAUGAGGGCCUGGUCCUGAUGCGAGGGCCAGAGCCUCUUGGAGCUGGGGAUCUGGAAGCUGCGUGGGAGGAGGGAGUGGAGAGGAAGGAGCGGAAACCUGCGCGCAAGCGAAUCCCGUUCACACACUUCUCUCAAAUUCUCUUGUCAAGGCCUGCAGCACGUGGUGUGAACCUGGUCACCAGGAACCACACAUCUUGUCCAUUGGGCUUUCUGCACUAUCUCAUUGCCCCGGCUGAACCCUGAGCUCCCACUGCAAGUCUCUGUCCCCGACGCCUGUGACUCUUGAAGUGUCAUCUCCCAACUCUGUCCUUGUCACCUGGGCACUUGUUAGAAAUGCAAAUUGUGACUCUCCUCCAAACGUACUGGAUUAGAAGCCCCAGUGCAGUGGGGGCGGGGAGAGACCAGCAACCCAUGUUUUAACAAGUCCUCUGGGUGAGGCAGAAUCACCACUCUGGGCUCUAGACCCUGGCUACUCAAACUGUGGUCCCAGAGCCCAGGGAGGGCCAAGGCAGAAUCUCAAGCCCCAUCCCAGACACCCUGAAUGGGAUUCUGCUUGACGUCCAGAGGACACGAAUGUGCAGUAAACCUCGAGAGCUGCUGAUGAAGGCAGCAUCCCUCUGGAGUGCCUCACCUGGCUCAUGGGAAAGCAACACCGGGGACUUUCCUUGUGGUUCAGUGGUUAAGACUCUGUACUUCCACCGCAGUGGGUGUGAGUUCGAUCCCUGGUUGAGGAACUAAGAUCCCACAUGCUAUGUUGUGUAGCCAAAAAUAAAUAAAAAUUGUAAAAAGGAAAAAAAAAAAAGCAACCCCAUUCCCUUGUCACAAGGACCUUAUUCCUCAGUCCUGUUCAGAAGAUCUCAGCCUCGAUCACAAGCUGCAGGUGCUGGGGACCCACAGAGAGAAUCUAGAGAGGUUAUCAGAAACACAAACAGCCUCACCUCUAUCCCUGAGAAAGACAGAGCUGAGACGUGGCUCCUUGAUUGCUGUAUCUGGUCCUUGCAUCCUGGCCCCUUUCCCCGAAUGUGAGUGAGCCCCUUGACGCUGUCCGGAUGGUCGGCUUGCCUUCAAGGGGCUGCCUCCCUGGA